UACGUAGGGUGCAAGCGUUAAUCGGAAUUACUGGGCGUAAAGCGUGCGCAGGCGGUGAUGUAAGACAGGUGUGAAAUCCCCGGGCUUAACCUGGGAACUGCAUUUGUGACUGCAUCGCUGGAGUGCGGCAGAGGGGGAUGGAAUUCCGCGUGUAGCAGUGAAAUGCAUAGAUAUGCGGAGGAACACCGAUGGCGAAGGCAAUCCCCUGGGCCUGCACUGACGCUCAUGCACGAAAGCGUGGGGAGCAAACAGG
rnacentral:rRNA from 1 species